rnacentral:miRNA from 1 species
UAGGAACUUCAUACCAUGCUUG